rnacentral:tRNA from 1 species
UUUUGAAUAUUUUAUAGUGUGGAGAAAUAUAAAUUGUAAAUUUAUCAGAAGAUGAAAAUUCUUUCAAAAA